UCCGGUUGAUCCUGCCGGACCCUACUGCUAUCGGGAUGAGACUAAGACAUGCGAGUUGCACGUCUCCCAGCCACGAAGGAGACGUAGCAUACGGCUCAGUAACACGUGGCUAACCUACCCUCGAGACGGAAACAACCCCGGGAAACUGGGGACAAUUUCCGAUAGGAGAAGAACCCUGGAAUGAGUCUUCUCCCAAAGGGCGUCUGAAUCAUGCUUCAGACGCUGCUCAAGGAUGGGGCCGCGGCCGAUCAGGUUGUUGGUGAGGUAACGGCUCACCAAGCCUAUAACCGGUACGGGCCGUGGGAGCGGUAGCCCGGAGAUGGGUACUGAGACAAGGACCCAGGCCCUACGGGGCGCAGCAGUCGCGAAACCUCCGCAAUACACGAAAGUGUGACGGGGUCAUCCCGAGUGUCACCCGCUGAGGAUGACUUUUCUCCAGUGUAAGGAGCUGGAGGAAUAAGGAGAGGGCAAGUCUGGUGUCAGCCGCCGCGGUAAUACCAGCUCUCCGAGUGGUAGGGACGAUUAUUGGGCUUAAAGCGUCCGUAGCCGGCUCAGUAAGUCUUCUGUUAAAUCCAACGAUCUAAUCGCUGGACUGCAGAAGAUACUGUUGGGCUAGGGGGCGGGAGAGGCCGACGGUAUUUCCGGGGUAGGGGUGAAAUCCUAUAAUCCCGGGAAGACCACCAGUGGCGAAGGCUGUCGGCUAGAACGCGCCCGACGGUGAGGGACGAAAGCUGGGGGGGCGAACCGGAUUAGAUACCCGGGUAGUCCCAGCUGUAAACGAUGCGGGCUAGGUGUUAGAGUGGCUACGCGCCACUUUAGUGCCGCAAGGAAACAAUUAAGCCCGCCGCCUGGGAAGUACGGCCGCAAGGCUGAAACUUAAAGGAAUUGGCGGGGGAGCACCACAAGGGGUGAAGCUUGCGGUUUAAUUGGAGUCAACACCGGGAACCUUACCGGGGGCGACAGCAGAAUGAAAGCCAGAUUGACGAUCUUGCCAGACGAGCUGAGAGGAGGUGCAUGGCC
rnacentral:rRNA from 1 species